rnacentral:rRNA from 1 species
UACGUAGGGGGCGAGCGUUGUCCGAAGUUACUGGGCGUAAAGCGUACGUAGGCGGCCUGUUAAGUUACAUCUGAAAGGUGACAGCUCAACUGUCAACGGUGGUGUAAGACUGGCAAGCUUGAGGCAAGCAGAAGAGUGUGGAACUCCGAGUGUAGCGGUGGAAUGCGUAGAGAUUCGGAAGAACACCAGUGGCGAAGGCAGCUCGCUGGGACGUGACUGACGCUGAGACGGCGAAAGCGUGGGGAGCAAACAGGG